rnacentral:rRNA from 1 species
UACGUAGGUGGCAAGCGUUGUCCGGAUUUAUUGGGUUUAAAGGGUGCGUAGGCGGCCCUAUAAGUCAGUGCUGAAAUAUCCCGGCUUAACCGGGAGGGUGGCAUUGAUACUGUAGGGCUUGAGUAAAGUUGAGGUGGGCGGAAUGUGUAGUGUAGCGGUGAAAUGCUUAGAUAUUACACAGAACACCUAUUGCGAAGGCAGCUCGCUAAACUAAUAUUGACGCUGAGGCACGAAGGCGUGGGGAUCAAACAGG